UCGACCUUUUGCUUAGCAGCUUGCUUCGCCGGUAUCAGCGUUCUCGUCCCGCAAUGUACCACAUGGGAAAGAAGCUUUUGCUGCGGCUGCUCUUGCAAAGGUGGCGGGAGCGCAGAAAGCGUCUGCGGCGACGUUGGAGGGUCUGGCCAGUCUUUCAACUGCGUAAAGAAGAAGGACUUUACGGCUAUGCAACGGAUACGUCAGGAUGACCACAGAUUUUUCUACAAGUUCUUUCGCAAGACGCCACAGCUCUUUGACCAAGCUAUUGAGCUUUGUCGCAGAGGGCCUCACAUGGCAGCACCACAUUCGAGAAACCCCUGGAGCCUGGAGAACGACUUGCUGCAGCAUUGAGAAGCAAUGCUUCCCAACGUAUCCAGCCUGCGACUGCCUGCUGAAGCCAGCGAUGCUUGUGACUGCAGCCUGCUGUGGUGUGCCUCAGAAGUCUCAGGAACCAGAACUUCUUGAAAUAUCGGUGAUUCAA